rnacentral:rRNA from 1 species
GAUAACCUCUGAAAGCAUCUAAGAGGGAAGCCAACUUCAAGAUUAGGAAUCGUUUAAGAUCCCUGAGAGAUGAUCAGGUGAUAGGCUCUAGGUGUAAGCACAGUAAUGUGUUCAGCCGAGGAGUACUAAUGCAUCGAGACAUUU